rnacentral:rRNA from 1 species
UACGUAGGGUCCGAGCGUUGUCCGGAAUUAUUGGGCGUAAAGGGCUCGUAGGCGGUCUGUUGCGUCGGGAGUGAAAACUUACAGCUUAACUGUGAGCGUGCUUCCGAUACGGGCAGACUUGAGGUAUUCAGGGGAGAACGGAAUUCCUGGUGUAGCGGUGAAAUGCGCAGAUAUCAGGAGGAACACCGGUGGCGAAGGCGGUUCUCUGGGAAUAUACUGACGCUGAGGAGCGAAAGUGUGGGGAGCGAACAGG